GAUGAAGAACGUAGUGAAAUGCGAUAAGUAAUGUGAAUUGCAGAAUUCAGUGAAUCAUCGAAUCUUUGAACGCACAUUGCGCCCAUUAGCAUUCUAGUGGGCAUGCCUGUUCGAGCGUCAUUUCAACCCUUAAGCCCUGUUGCUUAGCGUUGGGAGCCUACAGUACUGUAGCUCCCCAAAGUUAGUGGCGGAGUCGGUUUCACACUCUAGACGUAGUAAAUUUUUCUCGUCUGUAGUUGAGCCGGUCCCCUGCCGUAAAACACCCAAUUUAUCAAGGUUGACCUCGGAUCAGGUAGGAAUACCCGCUGAACUUAAGCAUAUCAAUAAGCGGGGA
rnacentral:misc_RNA from 1 species